ACAGCAGUCGCCGCGGGAAUACGUAGGGUGCAAGCGUUAAUCGGAAUUACUGGGCGUAAAGCGUGCGCAGGCGGUUAUAUAAGACAGAUGUGAAAUCCCCGGGCUCAACCUGGGAACUGCAUUUGUGACUGUAUAGCUAGAGUACGGCAGAGGGGGAUGGAAUUCCGCGUGUAGCAGUGAAAUGCGUAGAUAUGCGGAGGAACACCGAUGGCGAAGGCAAUCCCCUGGGCCUGUACUGACGCUCAUGCACGAAAGCGUGGGGAGCAAACAGGAUUAGAGACCCCUGUAGUCCCUGUCUCUUAUAC
rnacentral:rRNA from 1 species